rnacentral:lncRNA from 1 species
UUUCAUCUAAUGGUCAAAACUAAUCCCCACCCACAUAUAUCUACCUAAUUAAACCUAAAACCCUGGGGGGGGGGGGGGAGAAACCAGUCGCCCACCCUAGCUACUUCAUCUCCAUCUUAAACCCCCAAAACCCUAGAACACAAAAAGAAGCCUCCGCCGACCAUCCCACACAGCCGUCGGCCACCCCUUCACCUCUCCACCAGGCGCACACCCGUACCCCUUUACCAUUUUUCCACCCAAACCCAGCGACCUAGCCGCUGACCUCAUCCCAUCACCCAACGGUCCCCUCUCUCAAAGAUCUCACAACUCCUCUCCUCUUUCAACACCAUCAAGAGGACCCCCAGCCGUCACCCUCUCCAAAAAAACCUAGAUCUAACCCUAAUGGCCCUUUAACCUAAGAGCCGUCACCUUCAGCGAUUGAACCCUCCGCCGCCAGACCCCAGCAGCCAUACCAUCUUUGUUAGCCUCACUAUCGCCAUCCACGCCACCCGAGCUCGCCGCAAACCACCGUUGCUUAGCCCCGAAAACUAGCCAGCAGCCCUCCAUCAAUAAUACGUGAAAGCUUAAGAGGGCAGAGAAUGAAUAUCAAAGAAUUGUAAUCACAUUAGUUCAUUGAUUCCACAUGCUUACAAUCAAAUUAAAUCCAUUCAUCUUUUCAUCAUUGUGGCAAUCUCUCUUAAAGACAGUGUGUUAUUGAUGGAAGUUAACACAGUCAACUCACUAUGCAAAGUUUCACUUUCGUCUAUAGCAAUUCUUCGAUACUCUGAAUUUUAGUUCUUGCUCUCUUCUCUAUCGCGAAUCUGAUGGCACAAUGUCUUUUGUUUCUAUUUUUGGCUGCAUUUUUCUCUAUUUUCGGACUCCUCCAUGCCAGUGUCGGCGAUGCCGAUCCGAUUUGUAGGUGACCUGUUCGAGGUCCGGAUUUAGCUCCUAUCAUUUUAUCUCCGAUUGCAGUCCAUUAUUUUGGGUCAGUUGGCAAACAUUGGAGAUCUUGCAUUCAUUGAGGUUUGUUUCUUAUUUUUCUAUACUUUGUUUUGCUUAAUAGCACAAUCCCUUGUUAUUACGUAAAUCUAUCGAUUGCACUGAUUGUUGAUUGCGUGAGUUACUAUAUCCUUGUUCUGUUUUUGAAUGUUUGGUAAUAUCUUCUUUUGUUAAUGAUUCUGUUUGUACGUGAUUUAGUUUAAAUAUGCUAUGGAUGGGUUUUUGAUGGUGAAAAUGAGUUUUGAUUCCAUGUUUCACCACUUUAUUAAGAGGCAAUCAUUUAAGGCUUCACAGUACCAUUUUGAUGAUAAAGAAUCAAAUUGACAUAAUUAAGUAGUUUGAAUGGAAUUCUAGCUGUUUCAAUUGUGGGAGUUAGCUUUCAAAACGUGAGGAAAUCGGAAUUAGAUAAUUUUGUUGCUAUUUCUUUCUUACUCUCAUGAAUUUAAUCGCUAAGAGCAUGUUUAGGUCCGCUAGCACUUGGGUAGGUAAACCUUAGAAUUUUUGUUAGUUUCUAGGCGAGAGGCCGUUUCCUUAGUUAAAUUUAUCCGGGGAAUUGCCCGCAUAAUUUGUAUAUAUUUUAUCCGGGGUAUGCCCCGCAUAAUUUGUAUAUAUUUUAUCUGGGGUAUGCCCCGAAGUACUUGUAUUUGGAGGCCUAGAGUGGAACUCGUAGUAUUUUUAUCUUUAUUUUUAUUUUUAUUUUUCUUUUAUUACACGGGAACAACCUCGAGCCUCUUGUGUGUUUAUUUUUCUUUUCUGUGUUUGUUUUUAUCUCAAUUUGAAUAUUUUAAAAGUCAACUAGAUCAAGUAUGCAACCGUACUAGUUACGGGGCUUGGGGAGUGCCUAACACCUUCUCCCCGAUUCAAAUGAACCCCCUUACCCGAAUCUCUGGUGCGGACUUAAUUUUGGGAGUCCAAAGUGUUUAAAAAGGAAAGAAUCAUUUUUACAAAAUGGUGACCUGACACACCAAAACUAAUGUCAGGUGGCGACUCUGAAAAAAUCCUUUUGAACACAAUUUUGUCACAUUUUAAAUUUGAAAACCCUUUUGAGCUUCAAAUCUCUUUUAUAUAUUUUAAGAGGGUUAAGUAACGUUGGUAAAAAAAUGGGUGUGACAUCUCUGGCGACUCAGCUGGGGAGUUGCAGGUUCGAGCUGAUACUUGAUCUUGUUGGCUUUUAGGAUAUUCGAUUGAGGUGUUUGUUUUCUUUAUGUGCUUUGUUUAUUUAGUUUUUUUGUCUUAUUUCCUAUUUAUUUUGGUUGUUUGUUUAUCGCUUUUCUUUAUGUGUUUACCGCUUUAUAAUUAUCAUCAUUUGCAUAACCAUGGGUAUUCUUUCUGCAACAAGUCUCGAAGUACGCGUCGCGUGCACGAACUCUUUGUUGAGUCACCUUUAUUUUAGGAGGGGGGUCCGUCGGACGUAUGGAGUGGGUGGAAAUCUUGAGUAGCCAUCAUCGACCAUACGCUCCCCCGAAUUGCCUUGUUAGUGAACCCCAAAUUUAGGUCAGCCUUUAGGUCAUUCUUAUUUUCAUCAUGUCAUUUGGACUUAGUAGGGCUCGGUCCCAGGCACCGUGUCCCUUUGUAGGAAGCCUGUCCAAAUUUUGUCAAAAAUGGGCCCGUGGCCCAAAAAGACAUUCAAUCAUCCCUAUGUGAUACAUGUUGCAUCUUUGAGGGUAAAAAGGUCAUUUGGCGGACCGAUACUUGGGAAAGAAGGGUGAAAAAUGAAACAAGUAGGGAAUAGUUAUAUUUUUCUUUCACAACUUUUUCAAAAAAAAAAUCAAAAAAAAUGAAAAUGAAAAAUCCAAAAAAAAAAGAUUUUACACUUUCCCAUCAUUUUUCAAAAAAUGAAAAAAAAUGAAAAAAAAUCCAAAUAGAUUUUACAAUUUCCCAUCAUUUUCCAAAAAUUCAAAAAAAGAGAAGAAAAUCAAAAAAGAUUUUACAUUUUCCAUCAUUUUUCAAAAAGACAAAAUAUAUUGUUUUCUCCAAAUUAGUGUCAUUUUUUAAGCUUUCUCCCAUAUCCAAUCUUCUCGAACUACGCGAACCUGAUUCUCGUCUUUCGGGACAUGAUACGUAGAUAACUCACAUAGGGUCUGGUCUUCCUAGUAAGUCUUUGGUUCUUGGCUUUGCGGGAUCUUAGCCAAAUCUUGUGUGUCUAGCCACAUUCGGCUACAUCAGCCAUUCUUGCAAAAUGGGAUCAUUUUCGCAAAGUGGUUCAAUUACCCAUGUCUUAGGAUCUUGAGUCCACAACUAGGGGUCAUAUUACUUUAAGACACGUCCUUAUUGAGUUUGUAUCUUUAGCCACUUCUAACCAUAUCGGCCAUUUUUGUAAAAUGGGUCAUUUCUGCAAAUUAAUCUUGGGCCAUGAUUAUUGGGAGUGUGAAUUCAUAUAUGCCUUAGUGAGGUAUAUCUCUAUCUGAGUAGUCACCUUUAUUGAGUUUGUAUUAAUAGCCACUCUUAGCCAUAUAGGUUAAUUUUCAAAAAUAGCCAAAUCUUGUCUUGCAUGUGUCCAAUAGGAGAGUGGUCUCAUAUAGUGUCUCGAGUCAUUUAAUCUGUUUGGUCUUAUUUCUCUCAUUAAGGUAUGGAUUCAUUUACUAGAGCUCGAGCAUGACAGAUCACAUUUUGGGAGCUGUUUGAGGAGACUUUUUAUUUUUGAGUCUGUUUUAUAUUAUUUUUUGCUUUCUAGUCUUGUAUGGUAGUAUUUAGUCUUUUAGUUGGUGUAACAGUUUGUCGUAGUAUAGUUGAGUUUGUUAAGUCUUGCG